UACAGAGGUCCCAAGCGUUGUUCGGAUUCACUGGGCGUAAAGGGUGCGUAGGUGGUGGGGUAAGUCUGAUGUGAAAUCUUCGAGCUUAACUCGGAAAUGGCAUUGGAUACUACUCUGCUAGAGGUUUGGAGGGGGGACUGGAAUUCUCGGUGUAGCAGUGAAAUGCGUAGAUAUCGGGAGGAACACCUGUGGCGAAAGCGGCGCACUGGACCACAUCUGACGCUGAGGCGCGAAAGCUAGGGGAGCAAACAGG
rnacentral:rRNA from 1 species